rnacentral:rRNA from 1 species
UACAGAGGGGGCAAGCGUUGUUCGGAAUUACUGGGCGUAAAGGGCGCGUAGGCGGCCUUCUAAGUCGAACGUGAAAUCCCUGGGCUCAACCGGGGAACUGCGUCUGAUACUGGCGGGCUUGAAUUCGGGAGAGGGAUGUGGAAUUCCAGGUGUAGCGGUGAAAUGCGUAGAUAUCUGGAGGAACACCGGUGGCGAAGGCGGCAUCCUGGACCGACAUUGACGCUGAGGCGCGAAAGCCAGGGGAGCAAACGGG